rnacentral:rRNA from 1 species
GGCGGCAGGCCUAACACAUGCAAGUCGAGCGGCAGCGGGGGGAAGCUUGCUUCCCCGCCGGCGAGCGGCGGACGGGUGAGUAAUGUCUGGGGAUCUGCCUGAUGGAGGGGGAUAACUACUGGAAACGGUAGCUAAUACCGCAUAACGUCGCAAGACCAAAGUGGGGGACCUUCGGGCCUCACGCCAUCGGAUGAACCCAGAUGGGAUUAGCUAGUAGGUGAGGUAACGGCUCACCUAGGCGACGAUCCCUAGCUGGUCUGAGAGGAUGACCAGCCACACUGGAACUGAGACACGGUCCAGACUCCUACGGGAGGCAGCAGUGGGGAAUAUUGCACAAUGGGGGAAACCCUGAUGCAGCCAUGCCGCGUGUGUGAAGAAGGCCUUCGGGUUGUAAAGCACUUUCAGCGGGGAGGAAGGGGACAAGGUUAAUAACCUUGUUCAUUGACGUUACCCGCAGAAGAAGCACCGGCUAACUCCGUGCCAGCAGCCGCGGUAAUACGGAGGGUGCAAGCGUUAAUCGGAAUGACUGGGCGUAAAGCGCACGCAGGCGGUCUGUUAAGUUGGAUGUGAAAUCCCCGGGCUUAACCUGGGAACUGCAUUCAAAACUGACAGGCUAGAGUCUCGUAGAGGGGGGUAGAAUUCCAGGUGUAGCGGUGAAAUGCGUAGAGAUCUGGAGGAAUACCGGUGGCGAAGGCGGCCCCCUGGACGAAGACUGACGCUCAGGUGCGAAAGCGUGGGGAGCAAACAGGAUUAGAUACCCUGGUAGUCCACGCUGUAAACGAUGUCGAUUUGGAGGUUGUGCCCUUGAGGCGUGGCUUCCGGAGCUAACGCGUUAAAUCGACCGCCUGGGGAGUACGGCCGCAAGGUUAAAACUCAAAUGAAUUGACGGGGGCCCGCACAAGCGGUGGAGCAUGUGGUUUAAUUCGAUGCAACGCGAAGAACCUUACCUACUCUUGACAUCCAGCGAACCCUGUAGAGAUGCGGGGGUGCCUUCGGGAACGCUGAGACAGGUGCUGCAUGGCUGUCGUCAGCUCGUGUUGUGAAAUGUUGGGUUAAGUCCCGCAACGAGCGCAACCCUUAUCCUCUGUUGCCAGCACUUCGGGUGGGAACUCAGGGGAGACUGCCGGUGAUAAACCGGAGGAAGGUGGGGAUGACGUCAAGUCAUCAUGGCCCUUACGAGUAGGGCUACACACGUGCUACAAUGGCGCAUACAAAGAGAAGCGACCUCGCGAGAGCAAGCGGACCUCAUAAAGUGCGUCGUAGUCCGGAUUGGAGUCUGCAACUCGACUCCAUGAAGUCGGAAUCGCUAGUAAUCGUAGAUCAGAAUGCUACGGUGAAUACGUUCCCGGGCCUUGUACCCACCGCCCGUCACACCAUGGGAGUGGGUUGCAAAAGAAGUAGGUAGCUUAACCU